AGACUCCUGAUGCUCCUAACAAGAUGACACCAGCUGCGGUGACCGAGAAGGAUGUUGCUGCUGAUGAUAUUAAGGAAAAUGCUUUCAGUUCCACUGUUGAGACUGCUGAUGCUCCUACCAAGAUGAUCCCAGCUGCUGUUACAGAGAAGGAAGUCGCUGCUGAUGAUUCGCCGAAGAGUGAUCUGACAGAAGAGGAGAGUGACCUCAAUGGAGUGGGCAGUGAGGAGGAUGACCUCAGUGAGUACAGCAGCGAGGAGGAUGACCUCAGUGAGUACAGCAGCGAGGAGGAUGACCUCAGUGAGUACAGCAGCGAGGAGGAUUCCCUCGAGGAGGAGGAUAUGCAGAAGGUGAGCGACUCUGCUGUUGUGAACUUUUAUUCUGAUGAAGAGGAGG
rnacentral:lncRNA from 1 species